CCAUUGCUAGCCUUCAAAAUAACAGACAGAAAUCUAUGUGGUUCAAAUAAAUACACUUUAUUAAAGAAAAACAGCUGAAUAAUCUUAAGCACCAAAACUUUGUAUGCGUUUACAUAGCUUUAGUAGGAAAAAAAAGGAAUUUAAUGAAAAGGGCAUUGAAACGUAUGACACUAAUAAAAAAUGAUAUACAAAGCAAUCCGAUAAUUACAAGGUGCACUAAUUGAAAAGAGAAUUAGACAGAAAGGCAAAUGAACAGGGUUUUCGUUUCAUAGUAUUGCUAUACAUAGAGGCUUGCGUUAGAAAAAAAAUGAUACUUUAGCUUAAUAAAUACUUUCCAUUAAUUGAGCAUUAUGUGGUGCUGUAUCUUGUCACGUCAUCAUUUACAAUAUAAUGUGCAUUAUUAAACAUUUCAUUUAUAUCUCAUAAAGAGGAUCACGUUAGUGUUUUAGGUUCAUAUCUUAUGAUAUUGCACAAAGUAUUAAAUGAGUAGUUACUGUCCCCUAUCCCAUUAUCUGCACUCAGAAUAAAACUAGUCAGUGCUCUGCCCUCUCAGUGCAAACGUCUCUUGUGCAACACUUAAACACUCAUUUCAAUUCUUCUGUGACAACACAGGCAGUGCAAGAGGAAGAAACAAACAAGCAGAUUGUCUUUACAUUGGCGAAUUCAUGCAUCUCUCUUACAAUAACACAGGGUUAUUCACUAGGACUCAGAACAAAUACCAAAUAAUAGGCUGGAAGAGCUGAAUUGGAAACAUCGCUGGCUAGAAUAUACAGUUUAGCUAUUCUGGCCUUGCAAUAGAAAUUCACUUUGAAUUCAACAAUUCAUCCUUUACUGAACCCCGAAUUGUCUUACAGUUGUGCAGUGUAUGGCAAAAUAAAGAAAACCCACACGUCUCUGGAUUGCUGUUUUUAUUUUAAAUUCUUUUUAAUGAAGUUAUAGAAUUUGAAUAUCACGGCUUUUGUAAUUCUAAUAGCAAAGUACGACAAUAUUAUCUAAACUCUUCAUGUCUGGAGGCUGAAGUAUCUACACGUGGAUAGACACUGCUGGGAAAAUAAUAGAAAUUUUGAAAACCCUGGUAUUUAUUUAAUUAUCAUAGAAAUACUUGGUUUAAAAAGAAACAAAUCCACAAUUUUGAUCUUUUACCACCUGUCUCUCCAGUAUAACGCGAUGAUAACUAAAUGGUUUUAUGACCUCUGACACAAUGCCUUGAAGCACUGGCAAACAAGCCACCUAGAUAUGGGAGCUGCUACACGUCCUUCAAAUGUCAUUGUGACUCAUACGUGAACGGUUCAACACGCGACAGAUCAAAGAAAGCAGGGGGCUCAGUAACGGCAAACCCCAAUACAGCCAUGGUUUAAAUAUCUCAUAGCCAAGAAGUUCAUUAAAGGUUCCGGAAACAUUAGAAUUCAACGCAUCAUGGCAAAAGGUACGAAGUGAUGUGCGGCAGGAAAUGUUCUUGUGUCACCAUGUUUAAUUACUAAUAACAUUUAAUAAUUUAUGUUUUUCCCUUGGAUGAACUGCCAAACUGCUUUGUGGUGAAAGUAUUUUGCAAAUUUCUAUGUCAAUUCUAACAUUUAAAUGCUGGGCGAUAUUAAUAUCACCCCGUAAGCUACAAACACAUAAUACAGCAAUUGCAAACAGUUUGGGGCUCCAUCUUUUGAAGAUCCCAUGUCGGAGUAUUUUGGGAGAGUGAUUUAGUGGGGUAUCAAAACGCUAGCCAUCGAAGCAUUAGACUGAUUUUCUUUAGUCAUACUGUGAUCAGAUUCCACUAUGAAUAUCUGCUGAAUGUGACACUGUGCGUAUAACACCUGGAAUCCAGGAACACAAAGCAAGAAUAAAAUGUCUUACUGAUGGAUAAAUGAAUAUGGCUAGAGUCCCAUUAUAGAACCUGUAUAUAAGGAAAAGACAAUAAAAUGGGAGUAGAAAUGACUAUUUCAUAUUAGGAAAGCUGGGGGACUAUUCUACAGUUUCAUCGAUCUAUGUUUCUUACACCGAAUGUCCACACAGUAUAAAAAGCAUUUACCGCUAUUAAAAGCUACAUUACAGUUUCUGUUCAUUGGAAGAUUAUUCAGAUUUCAAUCUGGUCUUCAUUUUAAAAGGUCAGAUUAAAAAAACAAAAACUGCUUUUAGAUGGGAAUAUCCUAUAAAUAUCUUGUUCUCGCACAAAUUAAGCCAACAAAAAAACAAAACAGCAUGGCGUCUUGGGGUUAAAAAAUGAAUGAAAGAAUUGGAGUAAUGUUGAGUUUCCUCAUUGUUAGAAAGGUUCAGAAAGGUGGAUGAGAUGUUUGGCUAAUAACAGGUAACACCGGGUAACGAGCCAGAAGAGGGAGAAGCACAAUGUACACACUAAAUGUUAGCCUAUUGGCUGGAUUACUUUAUUGUUAAUGCUCUUGAACUUACUCCCACCUAGAACUUUGCCAUUUCCUCAUCACAUCUCGCGGUAACCGCCUCAUUGAUAAUUGGCAUUCAGGCCAACCUUGUAUCAUCUCUCAUCAUGUGUCUGAACAGCAGCCAUUUCACUAUCUCUGCUGCAUUAUUGCUUCAUCCAACUAACCCCCAAACCUCCUGGCAUGUUUCCCCUCCCCCUUAAUCUGCCCCCUCUCAUUGCAUGUUUGUCAGUCCCUCCACUAGUGCAACUGUAUACUCCCCACUCAACACAGGCUCAUCUCCUUCCAAGCCCUUUGUAACUUACUGCAUUCAUAAUAAAAUCUAAAUUAAAGAGACAAUCAAUAAGAGUUGGUGAGAUAUUGUGAUAACACUGUGUGGCUUUUUAGUGGAGGGGAAAAUUUUGCCGGGGAAAAUUGAAAAAAUUAUGUUACGUUAAAACACAAAAGUUAUUUCAAAGAAAAAAGACUUGUCUGUAAAUGAAGGUAAUGACUGGUAUUGAAACUGCAUGGAAUCAAAGAUAUGAUUAGAUUUAACUGUAGAUAAUACAUUCAAUUAUUUUGAUAAUGUGCUACAGCUCAAGUCAACUUUAAAGGGACACUGUAGUCAAUAGAACCACUACAGCGUAAUGUAAUGGUUCUGGUGUCUGUAGCCUGUCCCUGCAGGCUGAGCACUGUAAACACUACCAUUUUAGGGAAAAGACAUUGUUUACAUUGCUGCCUAGUUACAACUCCAGUGACAGCCUCUCAGACGGCCACUAGAGGUGCUUCCUAUCUCAAUGGUGCAGUAUGUAGCACCCACGUUCAGGGCAUGGAGGCACUGAACAUUCCCCAUAGAGAUGCAUUGAUUCAAUGUAUUUCUGAGUUGAUGCUGAUUGGACAGCAUGACGUUUUGCCGCACAUGCACAAUAGCCCACCAAUGCGUUCCUGUGAUGAUUUUAGUCAUUGCGACAGAGAUGGAGCCAGCCGCAGCAAGGCAUGGAAAAAAAGGUGAUUAAAAAGUUUCCCACACAAUCUAAGGGGAGCUGGUGACAAAUAGUUAAACACUAUAGGGUUAGGAAUAUAUCUUUGCAUUCCCGACACUCUAAUGUUGCUUAAAGUCAAUUCUUGCUCUUUAAGUCUAUGAGAAUAUUUCAUUAGCUUCUUAUUCUGAGCACCAUUUCAAGAUUCUGCUAUCACAUCAAAAAGGUGCGGUGCUUCGCAUUUUUAAAGCACUGAAUCAUUAGUUAGCUUUCAUCAUCAUUAAUUACAGGAAGCCAAAUGAAAGGACUUCAAAUAUGCAAAAAGAGUCAUUUGUGUUUCUAUAUUUAUUAACAUAAUUCUCAAGUCCUUUUUUUUAGGGGGGGGGGGAAGAGGGGGAGGGAGAUAAACCCUUGCAACUAGAACAGUGAUUUGUUACCCUGGGUCAAUAUUUGUUUUUUUCCAUUGAUAAAAAGAGGCAAACUAUAUAAAAUCAGGCCAAAGGCAACGGCGCACUAUAAGCCGUUUGUUGUAUUAACUUGCCUUUCCUGAGCAGUUGGCACCCGUGUGACACCAGGAACAUCCAAGGUGUUUGGGAAAAUGCAUUUUAACAUUACAUAACAAGGAGUUCAUUUUAUAACCGAAGAAGGUGCCAACUACCCUUUGCCAAUUUUAAAAUCCCUUCACUUGUUCAAUGUUUGUGUCUCUAGUCUGUUUGCAACAAAGCGAAAAGCAGCUAUAUAUUUCUUUGCUUAUUAGUGAUUUAUGGUUUGGUUUUUUUGACACUUUGUUUUGUUAGCACGUGGUCUAGAAGAUUUAUACUGUAGUCAUUUUAUGUAAAGACAGGGCUGAGUGAGCAUCUACACACAGCUACUGUCAGUGCAGAUCAUAGAGGCAGUAACAUUUCCUUAAUUAUCUAUAAAGGGCCUGGGUGUCUGCUAUAUUUAUUAGAACUAUGGUAACACAAUGUCUUCUAGUGCGAGUGGCCACUGGAAGAUCAACAAUUCAAUUUAUAUCACUGAACGUCAUCAUGGGCUAUGUUUAUUUAAAAUAAUGUGUGAAUAUACAUUUUUAGAUAUCUACAUUUUACAUUCACUGGCUGCAGAUCAGAAAAAGAUCCACGUACCUGUUAGAAAUAUAUAUUUAGAAUACCUAUGUAUUACAGCCUUAAUCUAACCUUUAAUUUAUGUAUGCUUAUACAUAAUCUCUCCCUAAUGUUCCUGCACUUCAUGAUUUGAUCUUUGAAGACAGGGAUUUCAGGAACAUUUAGUAACAAUCAGACCAGGACCCAGACUUUAUAGGGGACAUAAGCUUGCAACCCAUUCUUCAAUUAUAAUGCAACAAAGGUUUCACAGGGGAAGGCAGUGCUGCGUUAUGGAACCAUUUAUUGAGGGCAAUAUGCUGAACAAGGAUCCAUCACCAUUACAUGUACAUGCAGUACUAAAUUAAUAUCUACCUUUAGAUAAUUACACGCACACAGUCUACACUCAUCUUCUUUUUAUUGGAGGUUAAAGGGUAUUCAUAAACAAAUUUGGUUUUCCAGUAAUUUUCAUGCAUAAAACAAUUCAUUGUUCCUCCUGACAAAGAAAGAGUUACAGUCCCCGCAGCAGGCUUCGCAAUCUGUCAGCAGACACAGAUGUGCAAUAGUUGGCAGGAUUGCUCCUAGAGUUGCUAAUACUGUCACAAGGACGUUACAUGAUCCCGCACCAUCAUUAGGACUGCAGAAAGAAUAAACUAAUUGUCACGGAGAACGACCACUCAAAGCAACCACUUCAAAGGCACAUAAUAAAUGAAUGAUUUUAGUGGAAAAUGUACCUGAUCAAGUCUGAUGUGAAACCUCAGUGAUAAGGCAAUAAAACUCUCUAUGUGCUACAUAGCAUUUAACUAAUUCAAAGCUCAAGUCUCAGAACACUGUACCAGAGAUUCUCAGUCCACAAGGUGAGCCAGUCUCAGUGCGCCCACUAUUUUCCGGGCAGAGUGGCUUCAAGGAGGAAGCUUCAUAUGGUUUAGAUGAACUAUUCCAAAUAUUCAAACGGAGUGAAAUCCUGAGUUUUUCACCCAAUAAUAAGAAUCCGUUUACCUCCAGUUUUAGUGAAUAAGUCUCAUAGUGUGUUUGCACGGAGAGAAAGAAUAAUUGGGUUAUGGCAAGAGAGAUGUGGUACAGAGGACACAGUUCUUGUAUGAUUUAGUGUUCCAAUAAUGGUUCAGGCUGGUGAUAGAUGCACACACACCCAUAUCAAUUUACCCUUUAUCCUCAAAUGUGGGGUAAGAAAGCAGGUCUGUCUAGAAGAAGGAAUGAAGUACGAAUUCCUUAUGAGAAUAAGUUUUGGUGGUGAUGCUACAUGAAGUCAUCUCAGCACAUGCACACUCCAAAAUUCUCUCUUAUUGCUACAGACCUUACACUACCGUAGUUCCAUACAGAAUGUAACAGGAUAUGAUUCAGAGUACAAUGAUACAGAUAUGAAAAGCGGUUAGGAGGAUCUGAAUGCCACCUCAAUAUUUACUUGGAACAAUGGCUUUUAACUUGGAAUCACAGAAAUAGCAUUAACGUGAAAAGCAGAUACCAAGUUUUUUUUUGCCCAGUUUGGUAGGUAGUUCACGACUUGAAUAAAGUCCACUGAGCAGAAAUGUAUAUAAAGGCCUUUAUUUUAGGUUACAUCAAUAACUCAGGAACGUGUCACAGCUCCUAUUAAUACGCGAAAGGGAUUUUCAAAUCCUGUUCCUAUUUUUUAAAAGUCGUAUCAAAAUAUACCCGUAUGUUAACUUGACACACCAGCUACAUUUCCAAUGUGGGAAACACUUCAUACAUUUGCUUAGUACUAGAUGAAGAUUAAACAAGAUUUGUUUUUGUUUAUACAGAUUUUCCAUAUUGGCAAAUCCAUCUUCAAGUAGUUGAAGAAAUGCAGAAGUUUUGCGCAGAAGGCAGUUGCUGUGGUUUUAAUAUUGCAGAUUCACCUUGGUAUGGCAAUAGUCACUAUGUAAUGAAUACCACAGUGUCAACUUUAAGUGCCUGAGAGUAAAUAGAGAUUGAUUGAUUGAGAACAUCUUGGCCUUCUGCAUUUACAAACCUAGAAUGAUUAGUUUCCCUUUCCCAAAAUACUGACAAAUAUUGCCGAAAAUCUUUAUAUCUCAGAUUGGGAAUGCAGUAGUUUUGCCAAAACAGCACGUAUAUUUUGAUAUGGCAUUUUUGUUUUCUUACUUUACUACCAUUUUAAUUCGCACCAGACAGUUCUACGUGUUUUUUUAUCAUGGUAGGCAUUAUUAAAAGGCACCAAAAAAUCCAAAUUGGAUUAGUAUCAUGCAACAAAAUUGUGCAAAAUAUAUAUAUAUAUUACAAAAUGAAUAGACUAAGUGACCCCUAUACCGAGAAUAUCCCGGACAGGGGCUGGUCAGUGGGGGUGGUACCAAUUCCACCCAGGGCUUAACCCUUAUAGUAAAAAUAUAAAUCAGGGAAACCUCAUGCGAGAAUCCCCGGUUUGGCAUUUCAUAAAACUAAUUUAUUGAAUGAAAUGUCUUCAACAGUAAACAAUGUGUGAGAAGAUUGCUGCAACAUAGCAAAAGAUAACCAUUUAACCGUCUAUUCAAUGAUAUCACAGGCUUUAUUCGGCUGACAGUUGAAUCGAUAUGCUAAUUAGAUAUAGUGAUUCUAAAAAGCAAGCCAACAGGUGAUAUAUUGUGUCUCUGUAUAUUCCCUAUUAGUAUAAUACACAUCCCUUCAGAAUCAUUUCAGAAUUACAAUGUCCAAAUAAUCUGCAACAAUCGUUGAAAAAGGAGAGGGGAGUGCAAUUGGGGGAAAAGAAAACAGUAUUUCUAAUAGGGAGAGAUCACCAAAUUGUCCAUUGGCUGUAAUGGCAGUACAGGGGGUUAUUGGAGUAGAAAAGUAGGGUAAUAAUAGUAAUAUAAGUAUACAAAGCGAGAUGAUAUUGGAAGAUCUGGAGAGAUAGAAGGAGGGAGAAGGUAAGUAACGUUAGACACAGCUUGGGUAAGUAUGAUGGUAAUCAAAGGUAGCAAUUGUCUGGAGGUUUAAAAGUGCCUAUUUCUAAACAUAUAUGCUGCUCCUUAUCCUGAAAAAUGUCCACUUAUCUAUAAUCUGGAAUAUUAAAUACAAUCGCCAAAAUCCCUCAAUUACUGCACCUUCAAUGGUGCAAAAAACCCAAAAUAAGUAUAAUCUCCUGCACCUACACGGUUCUGUUAGUGGCUGAUACUGAUAUCCUAUAGCACCUUCAUGGAGGCUAAUGGUAAAAGUCCCUGUAUAAACGGCUGCAAUGGAGUCUUCUAUCUCCUAGUAUACGUAGGUAAACCCUAACUUAACCCCAUGGAGCAUCAAGCUUAGUGCAUAGUGAAUAAAGUGCUAAGUGAAAAAGUAAAUAAAAAUUAAGUCCCAACACACAUUUCGGUGCUCUAAUGGCACCUUCGCCAGGGGAGCUCCCCUGUGCUAUCAUUACAGCACCGAAACGCGCGUCGAGACUUUAUUUUUAUUAACUUUUCACUUAGCCGAUUAUUUUUUAAUAUUCCAGAUUAUAGAUAAGUGGACUUUUUUUCUGGAUAAGGAGCAGCAUAUAUG